rnacentral:rRNA from 1 species
UACGAAGGGUGCAAGCGUUACUCGGAAUUACUGGGCGUAAAGCGUGCGUAGGUGGUGAGUUAAGUCUGUCGUGAAAGCCCCGGGCUCAACCCGGGAGGGUCGUGGCGAACUGGGAGGCUUGAGGCCGGUAGAGGUGGGUGGAACUCCUGGUGGAGUGGUGAAAUGCGUAGAGAUCAGGAAGAACACCCGUGGCGAAGGCGGCCCACUGGGCCGGUACUGACGCUGAGGCACGAAGGCGUGGGGAGCGAACGGG